rnacentral:rRNA from 1 species
AAACGCCUACGGGGCGCAGCAGUGGGGAAUAUUGGGCAAUGGGCGCAAGCCUGACCCAGCAACGCCGCGUGAAAGAAGAAGGCUUUCGGGUUGUAAACUUCUUUUAUGAGGGACGAAAGAAAUGACGGUACCUCAUGAAUAAGCCACGGCUAACUACGUGCCAGCAGCCGCGGUAAUACGUAGGUGGCAAGCGUUAUCCGGAUUUACUGGGUGUAAAGGGCGUGUAGGCGGGACUGCAAGUCAGAUGUGAAAAUUAUG